UACGGAGGGUGCAAGCGUUGUUCGGAAUUACUGGGCGUAAAGAGCUCGUAGGUGGCUUUGUAAGUCAGAUGUGAAAUACUCUUGCUCAACGGGAGAAUUGCAUUUGAAACUGCAUUGCUUGAGUACGGGAGAGGGAAGUGGAAUUCCAGGUGUAGCGGUGAAAUGCGUAGAUAUCUGGAAGAACACCGGUGGCGAAGGCGACUUCCUGGACCGAUACUGACACUGAGGAGCGAAAGCGUGGGGAGCAAACAGG
rnacentral:rRNA from 1 species